rnacentral:rRNA from 1 species
ACGCCUGCAUGAAGUCGGAAUUGCUAGUAAUCGCAGAUCAGCAUGCUGCGGUGAAUACGUUCCCGGGCCUUGUACACACCGCCCGUCACACCAUGGGAGGUCGGAAAUGCCCGAAGUCUGUGACCCAACCUACGGGAGGGAGCAGCCGAAGGCAGGUCGGAUGACUGGGGUGAAGUCGUAACAAGGUACC